rnacentral:misc_RNA from 1 species
AUUUAAGGUGCAAACAAGAAUUGUGGAAUUCUAAAUCCUCAAGACAAAAACCCGCCAUGGAAUCUAUGCUGUUUCUUGGUAAAGGACCCACAGUUCCUACCCUUGCACGCAUCCCUUCUUCUCUAAGCACUCCACGGGAGACUAAGCCUCAUUUCAGUCUUAGCCAUACUUGUGCUUAUUCACUUACCAGUGUCAAUACAUGCCGGCAGCCGAUCAGGCAUGUCUUCUAUCCAGUGAUUCGUGCGCUAGACGGAUCAUCCACACCAUCAAGAAAUUGCAGCAAUGAAAACAAAAUUAUGCGAGCCGCUGUGGGCGCAUCAAUAGCAUUGUCUUGUGUUCUCGGUAUCAUCGUUGCCUGCUUGAAGAUGAGCCCUAAAGCCAUAGCAGGGCCUAGGGAAUUAUAUCAGAAAGCUCCGCAAGCAGUACCAGCAUAUCCAAUAGGUGGGAAGUCUGCACUAAAAUCGUUACUGGACGUGAAUAUUUACCUGGCUUCAAGUAAAUUAGAGCCCCCAGGAACUCCUUCCAGGCUUCCUGCAAGACCUUCAGCUGAAGAGGUUAACGGUGUCAUAAAGAUGGAGGCAAUACGGCUAAUGAAAUAUGGGAACCCAGAAGAUGCAGUGUUAUUUCUUCGAAAUGCAUAUAAUAAAUAUAGAUACGAUCUUGAGCCUGCAUACAAUGUGGAGAUGGCAUUAGUAGAAAUUCUCAUCUGUCAGGGAAAAUACAUGGAAGCCUCGGAGUGUAACUGCAUUAAGGAUGACCAACGUAUACUUUCAGAUGGUCGAAUUCCUCUUUAUAAGGCUAUCAUAUAUACAAUGCUGGAUGACAAGGAAGAAGCAAAGAAAUGGUGGGAAAAGUAUGUGGAAACUGUUGAAGGAGAAUUUGACCCUAGAAGCUCUAAAAUUUAAUUAUAUGAACAUUCCAAUUGCAAGUUUACAACUCCAUUGUUUUAUUCAUGCCCUUGUUUAAUACAAUUAUUCGCUCAGAAUUUCUGUAAUAAGCUAGGAGAAAAGAAAAAGAUGAAAAUUGAUCCUUAAUUUUAGAAUGCCAACCCAAUUGUUAUGUUAAGCUCAUCUCUUGGGGCCUCGAGCCUGCAGGCUGAAUUAAGCUUGGGUGGACAGGACAAUAAAGGGUGACGUGCGAACCCAACACACAUCAUGUAGCACGUGUAGGAAAGGCCAAUGGGCCAUGUCUCCUUUCCUUCAUUCUGUCAUAAAUUGUAAAUGUCAAUUUUAUUCAUUAUAAAAAUCACGUAAUGCUAUAUUUUGGAG